rnacentral:rRNA from 1 species
CACGCCGUAAACGAUGAGUAUUAGGUGUUGGUGAGAAUCAGUGCCGGAGUUAACACAAUAAAUACUCCGCCUGGGGAGUACGGUCGCAAGACUGAAACUCAAAGGAAUUGACGGGACCCCGCACAAGUAGCGGAGCAUGUGGUUUAAUUCGAAGCAACGCGAAGAACCUUACCAGGUCUUGACAUCCUCUGACAGCGUUAGAGAUAGCGCAUUCCUUUCGGGGACAGAGAGACAGGUGG